rnacentral:lncRNA from 1 species
AAGCAUGAUGGACAGGAUGUUUGCUCUUGAGCGUCUUGCCCGCACUGGGAUCAUCGUGACCACUAGUGAGGCUGUCCUCCUACAGCUGGUGGCUGACAAAGACCACCCGAAGUUCAAGGAAAUUCAGAACCUAAUUAAGGCGAGUGCCCCGGAGUCGGGUCUGCUUUCUAAAGUGUAGGAGACUUGAAGGAUCAGGGUCCUCCUUCCCUCCAGGCGAUGAGACUGCAAACCACACAAGCCCUUGUCUCCACUAGAACUACUAUGUCAAGUCAACAGCUCCUUCUUUGCGGCUCUUAGUAACCCUUACCUGGCUAGACCGUUGUGUACAAGUGUUUAGUUCCAAUGUCGAGGCUUCAGGUGCUGCUUCUCUUCUUCUUAACGAGCUUUUAGUUAUUAAGACAAAUUACCAUGGAGGUGCCUGUCUCGUCUAUACUGCAUACUCUGACCAUAUCUUUCCAAAGUGCACCCUCUGGUGAAGUAUUCUUAAAUUGUGCACUUUAAUGGGAGAAAAACAAAAAAAAACAAACAAACAAACAAAAAAACCCACGUACCACAAUGAUUUGACCUUUCUUUUGUUGUGAAGCAUCCCUUGUCAUGUCAGUGUAUACCCAGUGAUUUUGCUUCUCAGGCUGACUGGCCAAUGACUCCUGGGUGAGAAUUGAGAACCAGGACUCUGGCUCGUGUAUCUCCUCCUCUCUCAGUGUUGGAGUCGCUGACUGAGUGAGGUGCAUUGGCUUAAGGAGCGCAAAUUAUCUUCAAUAUUGUGUAUCUGUCUUGAUUGCAUUAAUUUUCUUAUUCCUGUUACGGUCUUUGUGGAUGCUCUUCCUAUGGAUAACAGUCUAUGUUAACAUUUUUCUUCCACUGAAUGUUUUCCUUGCUCCUUGGUUAUUUUAAACUUGUAAACAGAUGGGAGUGGUUUGCAGUGCUGGGUCAUUGACAGAGGUUUGCCCAAACAUACAGUCUUUUUGAGUGCAUCUUUUACUAUACACAGGAAUUGGUGGAGAAAGAAACACUAGGUAAAAUGUACCCAUAUUCCCCUCCAAACAUUGUUAUGGCUGACAUCAUCAACCAGACUCAUAGGGGUAAUACUGUGGUCAUUGUUAACCAAUCAAUAAACUUAUUUCCAUUUCAUUAAUUACUCAAACAUCUUUUUAAUGUCUGUUGUGAUAUGUGGAACUAUGUGGAACAUUACUCUCUUUGUAUAAAAUUAAAGAAAAUGUAUAAUGUGG